UACAGAGGUCUCAAGCGUUGUCCGGAAUCAUUGGGCGUAAAGCGCGUGUAGGCGGCCAGAAAAGUCCGCUGUGAAAACUCGAGGCUCAACUUCGAGCUGUCGGUGGAAACUUUCUGGCUAGAGUCCGGAAGAGGAGAAUGGAAUUCCUGGUGUAGCGGUGAAAUGCGCAGAUAUCAGGAAGAACACCCGUGGCGAAGGCGGUUCUCUGGGACGGUACUGACGCUGAGACGCGAAAGCGUGGGGAGCGAACAGG
rnacentral:rRNA from 1 species